rnacentral:rRNA from 1 species
AACGAACGCUGGCGGUAUGCUUAACACAUGCAAGUCGAACGGAUGAGCCUAGCUUGCUAGGUAAGUUAGUGGCAAACGGGUGAGUAACACGUGGGAAUCUACCCAGUAGUACGGAAUAACAGUUGGAAACGAUUGCUAAUACCGUAUAGUAUCGAGAGAUUAAAGAUUUAUCGCUACUGGAUGAGCCCGCGGCAGAUUAGGUAGUUGGUGGGGUAAUGGCCUACCAAGCCCAAGAUCUGUAGCUGGUCUGAGAGGAUGAUCAGCCACACUGGAACUGAGACACGGUCCAGACUCCUACGGGAGGCAGCAGUGAGGAAUAUUGGACAAUGGGCGAAAGCCUGAUCCAGCAAUACCGCGUGAGUGAAGAAGGCCCUAGGGUUGUAAAGCUCUUUCAGCAGGGAAAAUAAUGAUGGUACCUGCAAAAGAAGUUCCGGCUAACUCCGUGCCAG